GAUGAACGCUGGCGGCGUGCCUAAUACAUGCAAGUCGAGCGAACAGAUAAGGAGCUUGCUCCUUUGACGUUAGCGGCGGACGGGUGAGUAACACGUGGGUAACCUAUCUAUAAGACUGGAAUAACUCCGGGAAACCGGGGCUAAUGCCGGAUAACAUGUUGAACCGCAUGGUUCUACAGUGAAAGGCGGCUUUGCUGUCACUUAUAGAUGGACCCGCGCCGUAUUAGCUAGUUGGUGAGGUAACGGCUCACCAAGGCAACGAUACGUAGCCGACCUGAGAGGGUGAUCGGCCACACUGGAACUGAGACACGGUCCAGACUCCUACGGGAGGCAGCAGUAGGGAAUCUUACGCAAUGGGCGAAAGCCUGACGGAGCAACGCCGCGUGAGUGAUGAAGGUCUUCGGAUCGUAAAACUCUGUUAUUAGGGAAGAACAAAUGCGUAAGUAACUGUGCGCGUCUUGACGGUACCUAAUCAGAAAGCCACGGCUAACUACGUG
rnacentral:rRNA from 1 species